rnacentral:misc_RNA from 1 species
CUUCGCCUGGAUUGUCUUUUGCCGGCUCUUUCAUCGCGGCCCUCUUUCGCUGUAUUGUUUCGUCUCGUGUGCCCCUGUAUCGCGCGCGUCUCAGAUCGUUGGCGCCCGCAGCGUGCACACGUGCUCCCCCGUUCGCGUACACUGGACAGCAAGGGGAACGACACAUAAAAAUGAUCACCGCUACCGCCGAUGCUGGGUCGGCCGCCAAAGCCGCGGCAACACCGCCAGCGCGCUUGUUUGACUGCUUGGACGCGGCCAGCAAGGAGCGAGUGACGAUGCUGCUGAGCCACUACCAGGUACUUCUCCCAGUGGAGCAAGCCUCCUUCAUGCAGGAGCUCGAGCGGUACAACCAGGAGCAACAGACGACCGCGCUGGCGCGGAACAAGGCUGGUGAGGUGUGGAUACGCUACACCAACCCGCGUCUGCAGGCAGUGCAGGCACGUGAUCCUGCGUAUGUCCAGCGGUUGAUUUCCCACACAGCUGCUUCUCGUGGGUCAAAGGGCGAUGAGGCAUCCGAGGAGGCGACUGCACCGUGCUCGCUGGAGGAUCUUGUCCAUACUCGCGGCAUGUUCGGCGAGCCGGAAGGCGUUCCGAUCCGCGUGGGUAAGAUGUCGCUGUAUGAGAAACUGCAUCAGAACAUGAGAAACCGGCGGAGCACCGCGGGUGGGAGCUUGACAAACACCACCACCUCAAGCAUCCCUACCGCCGCCGAUCCGGGUCAUGGUGCUGCACGCGUCUCCGUUCCGUUUGGGCCUUUCGCUGAGGCAGAGGCGAAACCGGCUGAGGGCAAGCGUGAGGUGGGCGAUAACGCCUCUCCGAAGACAUCGGCGCAGUCCGAGAGCGGCGAGCGCGCAGUGGCACUUGCGUGCGCUGACACUUUCCCGUCUCACACAUCGUCGGUCAGGCCGUCUGCUCCAUACCGCAACAACGCGUACCAGGCCGUGCGUCUUGCAAUGAACUCGCCUGGUUACACUGCGACGACGCAGCCGACCUCGGUGGCGGAGCUACAAACGCCGCUCGACGGCGUGAAACCAGUGUUGAACACCACCGCCUUCCCGAUCACGGAAGAGGAGCUGCGCGAUUGGUUCGAUGAGCUGGAUGUACAUGGGCGUGGCGUCUUGAGCGUCGAGGAGUUCCAGCGCUACAUGCAAGCCUUGGAGCGUGACCUCGGUGUCCCGACAGAGUACGCGACGCUGGAGCUCGACGGAGCGCCGCUAGCGAAGGAUGGCUGGCUCAACUUCGAGGCCUUUUCCUACCUCGUGCUCCGCUUUGCGCGUGCCUGAGGAGAGAGAAAAACGAGACCGACGACGAGGAAGAAACUUCGGGCAUCUUUCCUUUUUGUGUGCGUGCGUGCGUGCGUGUGUGUGUGUGUGUGUGGCGUCUCUUGUCUCCUCUCUCUCUCCCCCUUCUCUCGCAGCCAGGCUGCUUUCGCUUUCUCUGGCCUUGCACCCACAACACCCCUCUUCGUGCUUCUAGUGUAUCUGUGCGGGACCGCAGAGCCGUAGCACACACGCAGGCGCACGCGGGCAUCAUCGCCUCCUUUGCCUUCUCCUUCAUCGCUUCUCUCAGAUGUGUUGUUUUGUGUGCUCCCAUUUCCUUUGAUUACCCUGUUCGUAUAUUGUCUCCCCCUCCCCACUGCUCACCAUGUAAUUUUUUUUUUUGCUGUCGGGAAAGGGGCUUCCGUUGCCCACCUCGUUGAAGCAGCGGACAACGUAUAAAGGCAGGUGGAGAGAGAAAAUGGGUUUGGACGUUGUGUGUGUGCGUGCGUUGGAGGGACAGCGACGGCGUUUUAGAUGACAUGAAAGGAUAGAGCCAUCGAAAGAAGUUGCCUGCGUCUUCUCUUCAUCGCACGGCGUCGAUGCUGCUAUCGUUUUAGCUGAUCCGCUGCAUCUCUCUCUCUUGACAUGCACGUGUGCGUUUCUGUGCUUGUGCACGUCAGUGUAUAUCAUCAUCCUGUUAGAAUUGUGUGCCGCGCGGCGUGUCAAAAGUUUUUUUUUUCGGUUAUCUGUGGUGGGAGCGUAUUUGCGUGCCAUUCACUUUUCGCUUUUCGUGCGGUGCUCUCUCCCCAGUCCUCUUUUCUUUCGUUCAGUGCAUCUCUUCUCACGUGUUAUGUCUCUCCCUCUCUCUUCCACGGCAGGUCACCUCCUUCCACACGUGCAUAUUACACCCACGCGCACCCAUGUACAUCAUUGAAAACCUGUCAGCUUCGUGGCCCCAUACCUGG